GAUCAUGGCUUAGGAUGAACGCUGGCGGCGUGCCUAACACAUGCAAGUCGAGCGAAGCACUUUGCUUAGAUUCUUCGGAUGAAGAGGAUUGUGACUGAGCGGCGGACGGGUGAGUAACGCGUGGGUAGCCUGCCUCAUACAGGGGGAUAACAGUUAGAAAUGACUGCUAAUACCGCAUAAGACCACAGCACCGCAUGGUGCGGGGGGUAAAAACUCCGGUGGUAUGAGAUGGACCCGG
rnacentral:rRNA from 1 species